UAGGGAAUCUUCCACAAUGGACGCAAGUCUGAUGGAGCAACGCCGCGUGAGUGAAGAAGGUUUUCGGACCGUAAAGCUCUGUUGUUGGUGAAGAAGGAUAGAGGUAGUAACUGGCCUUUAUUUGACGGUAAUCAACCAGAAAGUCACGGCUAACUACGUGCCAGCAGCCGCGGUAAUACGUAGGUGGCAAGCGUUGUCCGGAUUUAUUGGGCGUAAAGCGAGCGCAGGCGGAAGAAUAAGUCUGAUGUGAAAGCCCUCGGCUUAACCGAGGAAUUGCAUCGGAAACUGUUUUUCUUGAGUGCAGAAGAGGAGAGUAGAACUCCAUGUGUAGCGGUGGAAUGCGUAGAUAUAUGGAAGAAUACCAGUGGCGAAGGCGGCUCUCUGGUCUGCAACUGACGCUGAGGCUCGAAAGCAUGGGUAGCGAACAGGAUUAGAUACCCUGGUAGCCCAUGCCGUAAAACGAUGAGUGCUAAGUGUUGGGAGGCUUCCGCCUCUCAGUGCUGCAGCUAACGCAUUAAGCACUCCGCCUGGGGGAGUACGACCGCAAGGUUGAAAC
rnacentral:rRNA from 1 species